UAUCUGUCUGUCUGUCUAUUUGAGAGAGAAUCUCAAUAUAUAGCCCUGGCUGUCCUAGAACUCACUUUGUAAAACAGGCUGGCCUUGAACACAGAGCUCUGUCUGUCUCUGCCUCCUGAGGACUAGGAUUAAAGGUGUGUGCUACCACUUCCCAAUCUUUCUUAAGAGUAGGAUUCUUUACCAUGUAGGCUGAAUCUCUCCCCCUCCUCCUCUCCCCCCCACUCCACCACUCCCUUCUGCCCCCUCUGUGUGUGUGAGUGUGUGUGUGUGUGUGUGUGUGUGUGUGUGUGUGUGUGUGUUUUGAAUGUAGAUCCUGAACACAUCACUGUUAUGCAUUAGUUUGUUUUCUUCUCAGGUGUGCUCCCAUUGUUCUGGAGAACAUUUAAAGUAGGGACUACUACCAUUCUCACUCUUCGUUAAGCUUGCAAGGAGUUUUGACUAGUUUAUGUUACAAUGGUGGAAAGCUCUCUGGCAAUCUCUGACAGGACAGAUGGAAAUGUGCCUGGCAGGGUUUGAUGUUCUGGGAUGAGGUUUCUAUCAUCUCUUGUCUAGCCACAGAAGGUGCUUUGGAGGAGGGAAAGUAAAACUGAGUUUGAUGUGGGUUCUUUGACCACAUAUGUGCUCGUGGGAAGUAAAGUCUUUUGACACAGGACCUCUAAAGCUCUUUGAACUAAGCAAGCACCUUGGCGAAUAUUUGAUAAGGAGAACACGAGACUUUAACAACUUCAGCAGUAAAAACAGGAAACUAAAGUCUGCGCCCGUGUUGGAAAGUGUCUGUAUGUGAUGAUAAAAGCAUAUUAUGGAUGGAAAAGGAGCAUAGAUUACAUCGGGCAGGGAACAUUGAAUACUGAGGGGAAUGAGCAAAGGUAUUCUGCAGUCUGUCUUUCGGAUUCGUGCUAAUUAAUUAGACACAGGCAGCCAUCCUGAGAAGUGAGUCAGGGCUCCUCAUUUCGCAUAUGAGAAAUCGAGGGCAGAGAGGAUACACGACUUGCCAUUCUGCCAGCCAGAGAUCCGUCCCAGCCAUACUGUUAGUAUUUCCAGCGAGGUUUCAAAGGAUGACUUUAAAUUCAAAUUUAGUCUGGGUUCGUGCAAGGCCACCAAGGUAAAACUUCCAGUUCUCUGAAGUCACUUACUUCGUCCAGCCUGAAAGUUUGAUUAUGGUCAGUAAGGGUCUACUUGGAAGGUGUGGGCUUUUAAAGUGCUUUUUAUGAUGACAAAUUAGCACCCGUCUUGCUCUCCUUCCAUAAAUGCUCUAGCCCUGAGUGCCACUUAUGUGCUAGACAAAACAAAGAGUGAACUUUCUAGAAAUUUAAUUAAUUCAAUAAAUGUGUAGCAAAGAAACUUGUUAGUAUAGAAGACUAACAGCCCAGUGUGACUUGUAGUAAUAGAAUAAAAAAAUAUGCAAAGGAAUGAAUUUCAGACUCUGAAGCAGGGCAGUAGGAGGGUGGUAGUGGUAACUAAUGCUGGCCAUAAAGGGAAGAUCCACUGAGAGGAAGCAUUUCAGAUUCAAGUUUUCUUCUAUGUGGACUAAGCUGUGUGUAUACAGUGACCCUAGGCACAGUGCAGCCUCCCAGGGGUGUUAGGAGAGGAGGCGGGUAAUGGGAAAACUGGCUGUGCUUUGGAAGACUGAGUCAAUUCACAUACCUUAGGAAAUGUGGGUGCAAUUAUUUAAGCAGACCCUGAGGGCAGAGAACAGAGCCAGAACACAAGGGUUAAAUAGCUGGUAUGAUAGGUAGUUUCAUGUUUCAGCUUGCCUGGGCCACUGCAAUGCCAAUGUAUUUGGUGUGUGUGUGUGUGUGUGUGUGUGUGUGUGUGUGUGUGUGUGUGUGUGUGCAGGAUGUUUCUGGAGAAGCUCUAGGAAACCAAGCCAAUGAAAACAGAUUGGUCUACCUCAUGCUGGUGACCUGUAUCCAUCCUAGUGAAGGUCUAAAAAAAAAAUGACAAGGGCUGUCAGGUUCUGAAGAAAAUGCUUUGCACUCAACUGUUUGAGUUGACAUGGUCUCUAUUGACCUUCUAAUGAAAAUUGAAAUAUCUAUUCUUCUUGGGUUUCAAAUUUGUCAGCUUUUAGACUUGAGCUCACGCCACUGCCUCUCCUUGUUCUCCAAUUAGUUGCCCAUCUGAAAGUCUUAAGACGCUCCAGCCUCCAUGAUCACAUAGUACAAUUCUGUACCCGGCUCCCCUUUCUAAUACAGAGGGAAACAGAGCUUUAUACAGCUGCUAAUAAUUUGAAGUAGAAAAUGCCUUCUGAGAAAAGUGGGGAGCAGAAGGAUGGGAGAAGUCCAGUGUUAGGUUAAGAGAGGGACACCUGAAAAGGAGAAAACAGAAGUGGGCAGUUAGAGGUCCAGCUGUGAGCUUCAUUCUAGAAUUUCUAGAUACAGAGAGAUCAUUGCUAUUACAUUUUGACAAUGGGAAGGGAACUAAUUAGAGACAAGAAUGAUCUUACAGUACUGGGAAAUGCUGAAUUUCAAUGGAGAAGUUGUCAGGGUAUUUCAGAGUGAGUCAGAGGAACUAAAUGUUUAGGGGCACAUAGUUUAUGAACAUAUGAUUCAUAGGGAAAAUUUGAUGUUCUAAAAAUGUCAUUGAAAAGCGGGUUUUCCUGGAUUUUUAUUUUUUUUAGUUAGAAUUUGCCUUAUUAGUAUCAUGACUCUAAAAUGAAGUGAUUUGCUUAGGGGACUGAGUUAUACAAAUUUGAAUUUUUAUAGAUUAAUUUGAAUAUAGAGAAUUUUGUAUAAUGAUCUCUAAGUGAAUUUGGAGAAUAAAUCUCAAGGGGUAUUGAAUGUCUGGAUGAAGAGCUUCAUGCCAAGUCCUAAAAGGGGUUCAGAAAGGAAUAAGUAACAAUGUAGUCAUGGACUUAAGUCUGCUUACAUAGAAACAUGCCUGAAGGCUGAUAUAUUUUUUCUUCUUCCUCUAUCCUCUUUCUGCAGGUAUAUCUUAACCCAGAUAUAAUCAAGAAAUAGAGCUGGCUCAGCAAUUAAGCACACUUAUUACUCUUCCAGAGGGCCUAGGUUCCAUGCCCAGGUGGUUCAAAACCAUCUGUAACUCCACAUUUCAGGAGAUACAGCAGGCAUGUAAGCAGUGCAUAUACAUGCAUGCAGGAAAGACAUUCAUGUACCUACAGUAAAAUAAAUAAAUCUUAAGAUACACAAAUGAUUGCUAUAUAAAUGUUAAGAUAUUUAUCACUAUGAACUACCAUGAAAACAUUGGAAAUAAGAAAUCACUGUUUCUUUAUUUGGAAUGAUGAUCAGCUAUGCUAAAGAAUGCUCAUUUGAUAGGGCUGGAUGGCUUUGGCUGGAUGGUUCCAAAGACGGCAGAAUCAAUAUGGGGAAGAAUAUAAACCUGUUAAACUGAAAGAUUAGGAUAAUAACAACAUAUUUAUUUAGUAUCUAUUAGAUAAUGUAUUUAUGCUCUUAAAUGUUUCAAUUCAUUUAACCAUCACAGUCUUAAGCGUGGAUAUUAGCAUUACUCCCAUUUUGCAACAGAAAGAACUGAGGCAUUAAAAAACUACAUCCUUGAAUGAGGUAGAGCUCAGAUAGAUGUGUAUGUCAUCAGGUUCUAAAGACACAGUAUAAGACUGGGUUAUCAUAUGAUUAAAAUCCUCUAGAAAAAUCUACGCAAAGAGAGAUGCAUUGAUUUUAAAAAGUGGAAACUUCCUAAUAUAACCAUAUUCCUUUAAAGCUAUUAUCUGCUAUGGUCAGCUGCUUAACUGAGCAUCAAAAUAAACAUAAUCCUAUUAGUCUGGAAGUAUUGAAUGGAUUGCAUGGCUCCUUUGGGGAACUCAUGCACAGAUUUUUCUGGCAUGGGCUGAGUGAUCUGCAGCUGUAUUAACUAAAUUUCACCAUUUGUUAUCUCUUUUGUGUAUCUGGUUACAUCCAAUAGGAGACCCAAGGAGAUGGUUGGUAGUAGCAUAGAUAAAUCUAAAAUACUUACUUCGCAAGUCAAUAUUUCUUUUGGAGGACUUUGUGGAGCCCAAACCUCAGGCUUGCAUGAGACCAUCUGUUUUGUUCAUUCUUAUUUUUUAUUUUAAUUAGAAUAUAAUUACAUCACUUCCUUCUUCUUUUCCACCCUCCGACUCUUCCCCAUAUGCCCUCUCACUCCCUCUUAGAUUGAUGCUUUCUUUUUCUUUGAUUAUUAUUGUUAUAUACACAAACAAAUACAUAAAUACAGUGUGCUGAAUUUAUUUAGUUGUGUGUGUGUGUGUGUGUGUGGUGUGUGUGUGGUGUGUGUGUGUGUGUGUGUGUGUGGUGUGUGUGUGUGUGUGUGUGUGUGUGUGUGUGUGUGUGUGUGUAAUUUCAGGACUGAUCCCUGGGAAAUACUCAUUCUCCCUCUCUCAGCAGUCACUGGUUGCCUAUAGUUCUUUGUCUAGAGGUGUGACUCAGAUGAGGUUUCCUCCUCAUAUGCUAAUACGUCUCUUGUAUUGUCAUUGUUCAGGUCUUGGCUAGGGGAAUCUUAUUAUUGAGGUAUCAUAGGUAUAGUUUCCCUGUCAUUUCUGGAAAAUACAAUUUCAAAGCAGACUUCCUGAUCCUCUGACUCUUAUAAUCUUUCUAUCUUCUGUUUCCAUAUGUCUGAGUACAGGCGUUGUGUUGUAGAUUUGUGCAUUGGGGCUGUCACUGCCAAUGAGUUGGUUCUGCAUUAUGACCAGUCGUGGCUUCCUCUAAUGGUCUAGUUACUGCAAGGAGAAACUUCCACAUCUUUAAUGCACAGUGACAGAUUCUCUUAUCUGUGGGUAGAAAUAUAAGUUUUAGAAUAAACACAUCAAAUCUCUGAAAAGAUUGAGGAAUACUUCAGAAAAGUGAAAGACCUCUAAUGUUUGUGGAUUAUAUAAUUAAUAUUUUGAAAUUGACCCCCAGGAGUUGGAGUUUCAGGUAGUUGUAACUUCUGCAUGGUGCUGGAAACUAAACUUUGGUCAUCUGGAAGAUCAACAAGUACUCUUACCUGCUGAGCCACCUCUCCAGCCCUGAGAAAGGAUAGUCUAUAAUGGCUGGAUCAAAGGCAUUCCCAUUGAUGGUGAAAGAAAGUGCCUGAUUGUCUCUAUGCUUACCAGUGCCACAAGCUUUCAUUGUCUGCAUGAAGUCCUUGCUUUUCAGUGGCACAGUUAAGAUUGCAGUGCCUGGAAUGAGCAGCCCAUGAGAGCUCCCGUCAAGCUGAUUUCCAGUUGAAUGUGCUAUCUGGACCAUCUCCUCAAACAGAAUAUUGGAAUUCACAGGAAUUCGCAGAUUCUACAUCGUAACUCUGAAACACAGACCCGGAUAAAGACAUACUCUCUCAGCUACUGCUCAAGCUCCAUACGUGUCUACCUGAGGACGUGCUCCCUGACGUGAUGGUCAUAGGCUCACCCUUGGAAACUGUAAGCAAGCUCCCAAUAAAUUCUUUCUUUUAUAAGUUGUCUUAGUCUCUUUUCACAGCAAUAGUAACUAAGAUAAUGGUAAUUAAGAGCGAUGGUUGAGAGUGCUCUGAAAAUGAUAUCCGGAUUGGUAACUCAUCCCUUUCCUAAAAUCUUUGACAUGAAUCAAAUUAUCAUGUUUUGUUAAUAAACAAUUAAUUAAAGUACAAAUCUCCAGUGAAAGAUUUAUUGAGUGAAAAAGGUUCUAACAUCUCAGAGUCAAACAAUUUGAGUUUGUAAAUGAAGCACAAACUUAAUAGUAUGAUUCUCUUCGAGCAAACCUUCACCAUCUGUUGGAGUAAGAUGUUCAAUCUGCUAGGGCACCAGUUAAAAUGGCAUCUGCAAACAUGUCUAAGUAUCCUAGUAUGAGUAACCUCUGAACAGAAUUAACAAAUGCCAAGCAAGGUCUAGACGACAUCAAGAACCUAUCUACCCAUUUGCGGUAUGUGUCACUGGUCAGAGCAUCUAGUAUGGUCUUUGGUACUUUCAAUCAGCUAGACCUCUUUAUUUUAUGCAUGAGUAUCCUGAAAUAAAAUGAAUGACAACUCACUGGCCGCAGCUCUGGGAAGUUGAGUAGGAAGUCUGAGUCCAGAAGAACAUUGGAACGUUCCUGUCUUCCAACAGCAUUGAAGAGAGUUUUCAAAACACUGUUCUUAAGAUGUUUCGGGGGAAGGAUCAAAUGAGGGUAGUAAUUCAGAGCCAUCUUCUCUCUCAUGGUGUCUCUUCACAGCAGUAGAAACCCCAACUAAGAUACCACACUAUUCCCAAGUAGUCCCUUCUUUCUCUGCUUCAAGAUAACGAUGCACGCUCUCAGCCUGCUCAAACUCCAUAGAGAUACAUGACGUGUGAGCUAAUAGUGCAGAUUCUUAGGGCACUGGUGUUAGUCUGUGUUCCAGGUUGCUGGGGACAUCGUAGAUAAGGAAAGACCAGCAGUGAGCCGGACAAACAUCUCUUCAAUAUGAUUGACAUCAGGGCAGGAUAGCUAUUAUAAUCGGCCCCCAAACUAGGUGUUUCUUUAUAGAAAAACAGCUAGCCCUACAAGAUGCACGUUGGAAAGACUUAUAAGUUUCCCACUGAAAUAAAAUGUACAAUUUGUUAAUACUCUCAAGGUUGAUAAAUAGAGAAUGAUUUACUUUUGUUUGUUUUUUUUUAAAAGAUUUUUAUUAGAUAUAUUUCUUUAUUUACGUUUCAAAUGUUAUUCCCCUUCCCAGUUUCGGGUCCAUAAGCUCCUAUCCCCUCCCCCAUACAGGUAUUCCCCCCGUACAUCCCCCUUACUGCCCCCAUUUAUUUCCCUGAACUGGGGGUCCAACCUUGGCAGGACCAAGGGCUUCCCCUUCCACUGGUGCCCCAACAAGGCUACUCUCUCCUACAUAUGCAGUUGGAGCCCUGGGUUAGUCUUUCGGUAGUGAUUUAGUACCUGGAAGCUCUGUUUGGUUGGCAAUUUUGUUCUUAUGGGGUUGCAAGCUCCUUCAACUCUUUCAAUACUUCUAAUCCCCCCAAGUGGGUCCUGUUCUCAGUUCGGUGGUUUGCUGCUAGUAUUAACCUCUAUAUUGGACGUGCUUUGGAUGUGUUUCUCAGGAGAGAUCUACAUCCGGUCCCUUUCAGCAUGCAUUUUUUUAGCUUCAUCAAUCUUAUCUAGUUUUGGUGGCUGUAUAUAUAUGGGCCACAUGUGGGGCAGGCUCUGAAUGGCCGUUCCUUGAGUCACUGCUCUAAACUUUGCUUCCAUAUCCCCUCCUAUGGAUAUUUUUUCCCCUUUUAAGAAGGAAUGGGAGUGUCCGCAUUUUGGUCAUCCUUCUUGAGCUUCCUGUGGUCUGUGGAUUGCAUCUUAGGUACUUUGAACUUUUUGGCUAGUAUCUACUUAUCAAUGAGUGCAUACCAAGUGUGUUUUUGUGAUUGAGUUACCUCACUCAGGAUGAUAUUUUCUAGUUCAUUCCAUUUGCUUAUGAAUUUCAUGAAAUCACGUUUUUGAUAGAUGAGUAGUACUCCAUCGCGUAGAUGGACCACAUUUUUUUAAUCCAUUCUUCUGUUGAAGGGCAUCUGGGUUCUUUACAGUUUCUGGCUACUAUAAAUAAGUCUGCUAUGAACAUAGUGGAGCAUGUGUCUUGUUAUAUGUUGGAGCAUCUUUUGGGUAUAUGCCUAGGAGAGGUAUAGCUGGGUCCUCAGGUAAUGGAAUGUUCAAUUUUCUGAGAAACCUCCAGAGUGAUUUCCAGAGUGGUUGUACCAGUUUGCAAUCCCACCAACAAUGGAGGAGUGUUUCUCUUUCUCCACAUCCUCACCAGCAUCUGCUGUCACCUGAGAUUUUUAUCUUAGCCAUUCUGACUGGUGUGAGAUAAAUCUCAGGGUUGUUUUGAUUUGCAAUUCCCUGAUGACUAAGGAGCUUGAAAAUUUCUUUAGGUGCUUUUUGGCCAUUCAAUAAUCCUCAGCUGAGAAUGUUUUGUUUAGCUCUGUUCCCCCAUUUUUAAUAGGGUUAUUUGGCUCUCUGGAGUCUUUUUGAGUUCUUUGUAUAUUUUGGAUAUUAGCCCUCUAUCAGGUGUAGGAUUGGUAAAGAUCUUUUCCCAAUCUUUUGGUUGUCAUUUUAUUCUAAUGAAAGUAUCUUUUGCCUUACAGAAACUUUGCAGUUUUAUGAAGUCCCAUAUGUCGAUUCUUGAUCUUAGAGCAUAAGCCAUUGGUGUUUUGUUCAGGAAAUUUUCCCCAGUGCCCAUGUGUUCAAGACACUUCCCCACUUUUUCUUCUAUUAGUUUGAGUGUACCUGGUUUGAUGUGGAGGUCCUUGAUCCACCUGGACUUUUUUAUAGGGUGAUAAGAAUGGAUCAAUUUGCAUUCUUCUAUAUGCGAAACUCCAGUUGAACCAGCACCAUUUAUUGCAAAAGCUAUCUUUCUUCCAUUGGAUGGUUUUAGCUCCUUUGUCAAAGACCAAGUGACCAUAGAUGUGGGUUCAUUUCUGGGUCUUCAAUUCUGUUGCACUGAUCUAUCUGCCUGUCUCUGUACAAAUACCAUACAGUUUUUAUGACUAUUUCUCUGUAAUACUGCUUGAAGUCAGGAAUGGUGAUUCCCCCAGAAGUCCUUUUAUUGUUGAGGAUAGUUUUAGUUAUCCUGGGUUUUUUGUUAUUCCAAAUGAAUUUGCAAAGUGCUCUUUCUAACUCUAUAAAGAAUUGAGUAGGAAUUUUGAUGGGUAUUGCAUUGAAUCUGUAGCUUGCUUUUGGCAAAAUGGCCAACUUUACUAUAUUAAUUCUGCCAAUCCAUGAGCAUGGGAGAUCUUCCCAUCUUCUGAGAUCCUCCUAAAUUUCUUUCUUUAGAUACUUGAAGUUCUUGUCAUACAGAUCUUUCACUUUCUUGGUUAAAGUCACACGUAGAUGUUUUAUAUUAUUUGGGACUGUUGUUAAGGGUGUCAUUUCCCUAAUAUCUUUCUCAGCCUAUUUAUCCUUUGAGUAGAGGAAGGCUUCUGAUUUGUUUGAAUUAAUUUUAUACCCUGACACUUUGCUGAAGUUGUUUAUCAGGUUAAGUAGUUCUCUGGUGGAACUUUUGGAGUCAUUUAAGUAUACUAUCAUAUCAUCUGCAAAUACUGAUAUAUUUUUUUCUUCCCUUCCAGUUUGUAUUCCUUUGAUGUCCUUUUCUUGUCUGAUUGCUCUGGCUAGGACUUCGAGUACUAUAUUGAGUAAGUAGGGAGAGAGUGGGCAGCCUUGUCUAGUCCCUGAUUUUAGUGGGAUUGCUUCAAGUUUCUCUUCAUUUAGUUUAAUGUUAGCUACUGGUUUGCUGUAUAUGGCUUUUACUAUGUUUAGGUAUGGACCUUGAAUUUCUGAUCUUUCCAGGAUUUUUAUCAUGAAGAGGUGUUGAAUUUUGUCAAAUGCUUUCUCAGCAUCUAAUGAAAUGAUCAUGUGGUUCUUAUCUUUGAGUUAGUUUUAUAGUGGAUUACACUGAUGGAUUUCCAUAUAUUAAACCAACCCUGCAUCCCUGGAAUGAAGCCUACUUGAUCAUGAUGGAUGAUCAGUUUGAUGUGUUCUUGGAUUAGGUUUGCAAGAAUUUGAAUAUUUUUGCGUCCAUAUUCAUAAGGGAAAUUGGUCUGAAGUUGUCUUUCUUUGUUGGGUCUUUGUGUGGUUUAGGUAUAAGAGUAAUUGUGGCUUCAUAGAAGGAAUUCGGUAGUGCUCCAUCUGUUUCUACUUUGUGGAAUAGUUUGGACAGUAUUGGUAUAAGCUCUUAUGUGAAGGUCUGAUAGAAUUCUACAUUAAACCCAUCUGGUCCUGGUAUCUUUUUUUGGUUGGGAGACUUUUAAUAACUGCUUCUAUUUCUUCAGGAGUUAUGGGGUUUUUUAGAUGGUUUAUUUGUUCCUGAUAUAACUUUGGUUCCUGGUAUCUGUCUAGAAAAUUGUCCAUUUCCUCCAGAAGUUCCAGGAUUGUUGAAUAUAGGCUUUUGUAGUAGGAUCUGAUGAUUUUUUGAAUUUCUUCAGAUUCUGUUGUUAUGUCUCCUUUUCAUUUCUGAUUUUAUUAAUUUGGAUACACUCUCUGUGACCUGUGGUUACUUUGGCUAAUGGUUUAUCUAUCUUGUUGAAUUUCUCAAAGAACCAGCUCCUGGUUUUGUUGAUUUUUUUGUAGUCCUUUUUGUUUCUACUUGGUUGAUUUCAGCCCUGAGUUUGAUUAUUUCCUGCCUUCCACUGCUCUUGGGUUUAUUUAUUUCUUUUUGUUCUAGAGAUUUUAGGUGUGUUGUCAAGCUGCUGACAUAUGCUCUCUCAUGUUUCUUUUUGUAGGCACUCAGAGCUAUACGUUUUCCAGUUUCAUUGUGAUCCAUAAGUUUGGGAAUGUUUUAUCGUCAUUUUCAUUAAAUUCUAAGACGUCUUUAAUUUCUUUAUUUCUUCCUUGAAUAAGUUGUCAUUGAGUAGAGCAUUGUUCAAUUUCCAUGCAUAUGUGGGCUUUCUGUCAUUAUUGUUGUUAUUGAAGACCAGUUUUAGUGCAUGGUGAUUUGAUAGGAUACAUGGGAUUAUUUCUAUUUUCCUGUAUCUGUUGAGGCCUGUUUUGUGACCAAUUAUAUGGUCACAUUUGGUUCAGAACUUCUGCUAGUUUCUUUAUGUCUGUGUCUAUAUGUCUAUUUCUGUUUCCAUGAUCUGUCCAGUGAUGAGAGUGGGGUGUUGAAAUCUCCUACUAUUAUUGUGUGAGGUGCGAUAUGUGCUUUGAGCUUUAGUAAGGUUUCUUUUAUGAAUGUAGGUGCCCUUGCAUUUGGAGCAUAGAUAUUUAGGAUUGAGAGUUCAUCUUGGUGGAUUUUUCCUUUGAUGAAUAUGGAGUGUCCUUCCUUAUCUUUUUUAAUGACUUGUGAUUGAAAGUCAAUUUUAUUUGAUAUUAGAAUGGCAACUCCAGCUUGUUUCUUGGGGCCAUUUGCUUGGAAAGUUGUUUUCCAGCCAUUUACUCUGAGGUAGUGUCUGUCUUUGUCUCUGAGGUGUGUUUCCUGCAUGCAGCAAAAUGCUGGGUCCUCUUUACAUAUCCAGUCUGUUAGUCUAUGUCUUUUUAUUGGGGAAUUAAGUCUGUUGAUGUUGAGAGAUAUUAAGGAGUAGUGAUUGUCACUUCUUGUUAUUUUUGUUGUUAGAGGUAGAAUUAUGUUUGUCUUUCUUCUGGUUUAAUUGCAAGGAAAUUAUAUUCUUGCUUUCUGUAUGGUAUAGUUUCUCUCCUUGUGUUGGAGUUUUCCAUCUAUUAUCCUUUGCAGGGUUGGAUUUGUAGAAAGAUAUUGUGUAAAUUUGGUUUUAUCAUGGAAUAUCUUGGUUUUCCAUCUAUGUUAAUUGAGAGUUUUGCUGGAUACAAUAACCUGGGCUGGCAUUUGUGUUCUCUUAGCGUCUGUAUGACAUCUGUCCAGGAUCUUCUGGCUUUCAUAGUCUCUGGUGAGAAGUCUGGUAUAAUUCUUAUAGGUCUGCCUUUAUAUGUCACUUGACCUUUUUCCCUUACUGCUUUUAAUAUUCUUUCUUUGUUUUGUACAUUUGGUGUUUUAACUACUAUGUGAUGGGAGGAAUUUCUCUUCUGGUCCAGUCUAUUUGGAGUUCUGUAGGCUUAUUGUAUGUUUAUGGGCAUCUCUUUCUUUAGGUUAGAAACGUUUUCUUCUAUAAUUUUGUUGAAGAUAUUUACUGGCCCUUUAAGUUGGGAAUCUUCACUCUCUUCUAUACCUAUUAUCCUUAGGUUUGAUCUUCUCAUUGUGUCCUGGAUUUCCUGUAUGUUUUGGGCUAGGAGCUUUUUGCGUUUUACAUUACCUUUGACAGUUGUGUCAAUGUUUUCUAUGGUUUCUUCUGGCCCUGAAAUUCUCUCUUCUAUCUUUUGUAUUCUGUUGGUGAUGCUUGUAUCUACAGCUCCUUGUCUCUUCCUUAGGUUUUCUAUAUCCAGGGUUGUCUCCCUUUGUGCUUUCUCUUUUUUUUUUCUUUUUUUUGGAGCUGGGGACUGAACCCAGGGCCUUCCACUUGCUAGGCAAGCGCUCUACCACUAAAUCCCCAACCCCCCCUUUGUGCUUUCUUUAUUGUUUCUAUUUCCAUUUUCAAUUUGUUCACCUUUUUGAAUGUGUUUUCCUCUAAUUCUUUCAGGGAUUUUUGUGUUUCCUCUCUAAAGGCUUCUACUUGUUUACUUUUUCCCCUUGUAUUUCUUUAAGGGAGUUCUUUAUGUCUUUCUUAAAGCUGUCCAUCAUUAUCAAAAAAUGUGAUUUUAAAUCUGCUUUUCUGAUGUGUUUGGAUAUCCAGUAUUUUCUUUGGUGGGAGAACUGGGCUCUGAGGGUGCCAAGUAGUCUUGGUUCCUGUUGCUUAGUUUCCUGUGCUUGCCUUUAGCCAUUGGGUUGUCUCUGGUGUUUGCUUGUCUUGCUGUUUCUGAGAGUGACUUGAUCCUGAUGUAGUCCUCUGUGUCAGCACUCCUGUAGAACUGUUUUCCUGUUUUCUUUCAGUCUUUUCUGAGAACAGGUGCUCUGAUUUCAUGUGUGUCAGCACUCCUUGAGCCUAUCUUUCAGCUCUAGGCGUGGGCAGGAAUCAAUGGGUCCUGCCCCUCAUUGCUCCUAGGUCCUUGCACCCAGUGGGCACAGUUGGCACUAGGCGAUUCCCUCUUGUGUCUGGACUGUGGGCAGACGGUAGUCUCCUCUGACUUCUCAGGAGUGUCCACACUUCUGAGGGUCCAGCUCUCUCCCUCAUGGGAUUUGGGUGCAGGAAGCUGUUUGUCUGGUUCAGUUCGGUCCUGGGCGCAGACCAGAACUGCGGGUACCAGCGGCUGUCUGUUCCUAUAUCCCUGUGUCCAGAGGCACUGUGUAGUUUCCCUUUAGACCAGGGAUGUGGGCAGAGGUGUGUAGAGGUGGCAGUCUGUCCUAUGGUCUCAAGAUGUCUCUUAUUUUUGUUUCUUAGAAAGGGAUUGGAAAGACAAAGAACUGUCUAUUUCUAGCUCUCAGCGAAUUCUUUUUGGGCCAAGCUUGUUGAAUGGUGGGGUUGCAGAAAGAGUUACAAAAAUAUGAACUUCUUAGCCCUUUGGAUAUCUCACUCUUGCUAGCAACAAGGGUAAGAAACAAAGAAAAACCUAUUCAGGCAAUUUGUCUUCUUCACAUAAGCUGAUUUUGGCUUGGUUUAGAACCUCAGGCUAUAGUUAUACCGCUCCUUGGACUUUCAGUGAAGGCACGUGGGCAGGUUUGUGGUUUUGUACUUUUGGCUUUAUGGGGGGACUUUAUUUGUUUUGGGUUUUUGCUCCCUUUAAGUGCUUCUUAAGACCAGAAAAUCCAUUGUUAUUAUUGAUCAUUUUGGAAUCAUCAUGUUAGUUUUAUCAAUGAUAAUUCCUUUAGAAGAAAAAGAAAAUCAGGUUUUUGCCAAUGGAUACAUUCCGUAUAAAGACAGAUUUCUUCAAGUGUAGAGAAUUGUUGGUUCAUUUGCUAACCAUUUUUGUUUCAUAUAUUUGCAUUUGCCAGACAAACCUUGAGAAUAUAUAUGGAGAUAUAAAAAUUCCUAAGAUUUUCUUUUCUUUUUGUAGCUUUGUAAUGAUCUUUUCAGUUUAGUCCUAGAUUCUUCAUAUAAUUAAUCUAGGAAAAUCUUCAAUUUAAAGAUACAGACAUUAUUUUUUAACACCACAUUUUUUGGGCCAUAUAAAUGAAAUACAGCAUGCGAUGGGCUCACUCACUACUCAUGUCUUCAGUUUCACUUUUUCUGUCCAAAACUUCUUGGGUUGGCUUCUGACCCUGGAUUUGAUGAACAUUGUAGGUUAGAGAAAGCUUACAGGAUGACGUCUCUGGGAGGAAGGUAUAGCUCUUAAGAAUGGCUUGGGUAUGUUCAAGAUUCUGAAAUCUAAAACAAUCAAAGUCCUUCUUAUGAAGGAUCCUUCCUUGCUUCAAAACCCCCAAGUAAACAAGCUUGAUCUGAAAGAUGACAGGUUUCAGCUUUUGAAGUUAUUUUACCUUUAUGCAGAAAAAGUUAUUCAAAACUCAACUUCUAAUUAAAGUCUUCAUCCUCUCUCGAGCAGAGGAGAUCAAAGGGACAAGUGCGGGGAUCCUGCCCAUCACAGCUUCCUGAGUUUUCAGCAGGAACCACAGUGUUUAGCCAAUGAAUUUAAAUAAUGAGAAAUACUGUGCAAUUAGGCUGGGGUUUGAACCUAUCUAUACACAGGGAGUUUCGGCUUUCAAAUAUGUAUGUUGUGAUUGCAUUACCAUCACAUACAAAUCUGUGUCAUUUGUUAUAUUUUGAGGCUCAGUGCUCAUCGUGUUUAGUAUAUUUCUUUUUUCUUUUUCUUUUUUUUUUUUCUUUACGAGUACAUGAGGAUAAUCUCAUUGUGGAAAGCAGUCUGUUGUUUGGGCUGACUUUAUAUCACUGGAAACUAAAAUUUUGAAAGACAAAUAGGAAGGGUUCAGAAAUGAAGUUUCACCCUGUGGAGUAAAUCUCUCUGAAGGCUUAGAGGAGGGGAGCAAACCCUAAAAUCUGUACACACUGGCAAUCAAGUUUCCAUAGAUGUCAUAAGGUGUCACAUGACUUCCCUGGGAGCAACUAAGAAAUAAAGACCCAGUCCUGUGAACAUUAAGCACUGUUAGGUGACUUUGCCUCAGGCCAUCAAAUAAAAAUGGCACAUGCCAUUAGCUUUCUAGAGAGGGGAUUUUAAAUAUCUUUCUUCAAAAUCAUGUUUUCUUUUGAUUUUUUUUUUUGUGGUUCCUCAUAUUUGUCUCACAUUUCUUGAGGAGAUCUGUGAUGGCUGGGUUUGGGGAUGCCCCAGGGCUGCUCCUUAGAACCUGAUAUCUUGAGUUCUUUAUAAUCCACAGCUUUCUUUGAUAUUGGACACUUUCCAAGCCUUGAAUUAACUCUGCUGAUAAAACCAUCACACACACACACACACACACACACACACACACACACACACACACUCACACACACUCACACACAGAAUUAGAUAUACACAGACACACACAGAAUUACAGAUAUAAACAGACAUACACACAUAGACACAGACAGACAGACACACACCAAAGCAACAAUAACAACAAAAAAACUCAGAUCGAGAGAUAUUUUUCUUAAGAGAUCAAAGAACUCAAACAUGUUUGUGUGUGAAGUAUAAAGUAUAAACCUAAUGAUUCUCUCUGAGAAACCAAAACUCUGGUAGUGACACAUGACUAGCAGUGGUCUCUUAUGGAGUAUUUGGAUGGUCAUUCUAGCUCCCAUUCAUGCCCAGUCUUCUAUGAUCUCUGGCAUAUAAUUCAGGCUUCAGCAGAGAAAAUUGAGGCAUGUCUUCUUGGGAGCCUUACGGCGAGACAGAAGGUAGAGGUGACCAGAGGAGAGUAGGGACUGAAGGCUCUUGUUAUAUUGCAAUUGGAGGAGCAUAAUAAAAAGUUCCAGUUGAGCAGAGAUAAGUGAUAUAGGUCCUUAUCUUAGUUGAUUGAUAGGAGGCUUCUGACUGUUAGCUGAGGUAUACCUGUUCUUCUCUGAGACUCGCCGAGAAGUGAAGAUUACAUCCAUUUCAAGCAUGGAGGUUUUUACACAAGCAAACCUGUAAGGAUUCAGGCAUGUUAUAAUGAUUUCUCUGCCACAUUCCACAGGUCGGCUUUAUUGUUGGAAACAGGGUGAUUUUACUACUGCAAGCAAGCAGUGUGAAAUAAAAUGAAAACCCAAACCAAGUUAAAUUAGGCCUUUUUUUUUUUGCCAUGUUUUUCACAUCCAUCCUGUUAAGCACUGACCUUUGAAGAGGAGCGAAGUGGGAAUGGUAAGUUAUUCUGUGAUACAGAACUCGCAGCACACUAAGCUUGAGGAGAGAGCUUCAGCAAGUUCUGACUAGAACAAAGCCGUAGCCGCCUUCCACUCAAGCGCGGCCACAUAUUUCAUCUGGAUGUUUUGAGAAGGAAAACAACAGGGAACUUUUAAGAGACCUCAAGUGUUGUUUCCCCACCUGCCUUGCGUCAAGUACAAAUGUAGGGAAGUGUCCAGAAUGUACGCAUCCAAAUAGACUCAUUUGGUUAUAUGGCUUUUCUGUCUAGGAAUUAUGGAAACAGGAUGUUUGAUUUGAUCCUGGGACAUAUUACUGAAAAAUUUUGCUAAGGUUAAUAAAAAGGAAAUUCAAAAAAUAUAUUAAAGUGUCUGAAACAGACUUCAAGAGUUAGGACACUGAGGUCAUUGCAUUUAGAGCUUGGGAGUAGGGAUUCUGACUCCACAGAGCAGGGCAUGUUCAUGUGCCUUUGCCUGCGUGGUUUUGUGUGUGUGUGUGUGUGUGUGUGUGUGUGUGUGUGUGUGUGUGUGUGUGUACUGCGCAUACACAUACACACAUUGAGGAAGCCAUUCUAGGAGAAGAGAUUUCUUUGACUCAGUGUGGUAGAGCAUGUUGCUUCAGAGAAAUACUUUUAAGUGACAUUUAAAUUCUUCUAUUAAUUCAGGUUGGUAUAAAAAAUGAUAAUUUUCUUUUUUUGGAGACCAUUUACCAUCAUUCUCAUCAAUAUUUAACCAUUGGGAAGCAGGGGAGGCCUAUUAGGUUAUCUCAAGGACUGUUUAAAAAUCUGUGAUAAUUUGAAUAAAAAUUCAGUCUGAAACUUGGGGAACCUGUCUGUCUAGAAAGUGUUCUUUUUUUUUUCUUUCCUGUCUUCCCUUUCCCCUCCCUUCUUCAAAUUCUCCUGAUUUCUAAGCCCAGGGCAAGUUUAAUUAUAAUUAGUUAAUGUUAGUUAAUUAGGUAAUGUUCAUAUAGUGCUUUGAAGACGAAAAGUGUUUUAGAAAUGCUAAGUGCUAUCAUUAUUAAUAUCAGCAAUGGGAGAAAAUUAAGCAUGCUGAACACUUCUAGAAGCUGCAGAAUAUGAAUGUGAAGUGGCUGGUACCACGUGACUUUUCAGUUCCACCAUCACAAUUCCUGUUGGAAUUUGAAGCUGUCUUUGGUCUUCAUUGUCUGAAUGUCCAGAGUCACCUUUCGCUGUCUCAAGAGCAGUCAUGGCUCAGAGGGGUGAGCAAGUGACAUCUCAGACUAAAUAUUGUUCCCAACUGUGUGUUGGAAAAUAUCCAGCUAUGCUUAGAUGUGUUCUCACAUAGAUAGAUCCAGCCUUCAGUGGGUAGCCACACUGGUGUUUGUCUCUGAGCUCUAAAAUAGCCCAUGGGCUUUUUUCUAUUUCAAAUGAAAACAUAGAGAAUUAUCAGCAGCAAAACAAACCCUCAUUGGAUUAUUUAACUCAUUUAAGGUAACCGGGCAACUAAAAUUGACACUCUUAUAAGCACAUGGAAUUCUCCUAGCCGUAACUGAGAUGCAAACCUUUGGCGUAUAGUACCUAAACUUUAGAAAUGAGUGACUGUCUUGGCCUCUUACUGAACACAAAGCACUUAUGGGAGAUGUUAUAUUGGACAGCAUGUUAUAGUCAACAGCUUCUUAUGAGUUGUGCUGAAGGAACUGGGUCAAUAUAAUUUCUGACUUACAGGCAGG